CGCGUGUGUUACUUCAGAAAUACCAGCCGGUGUAGCGGAGCAAUCUCGAUUUAUACUGGUCAGAAACGAGAGAGCAAGAGCAGGCGGGGGGGGGGGGGGGGGGCGCAACGAGAGGUGGGUGAUGAGGAGGUUGGAGCAAUGUGCAGCGAGGCGAGUGAAAGAGCAGGCGUGAAAAAUAAAAUGCACAAAUGAUGUUGAUGUGGAAAGCGCCGGAGAUGAUGGGGUGCGCACACCAAACGGGCAUGAGGAGGGCAGUCCUUCAGAUAUGAAGGUGCAAAAACAGGCAUUCAGACACAAAUAGGAGCACAAUAAAGACAUUUAAUGUGUGUGAAUGCAUAUAUACCCAAAAGGUAACCAAACAAUGAUUCCCCCAUAGAGAAGAGCUGAUGGUGACCACAGCCCAGGAGAUAAGAGACACAGAGGGAGGAAAGAAGAAAGAGAGAGGGGGCAAAGAAACAGCACGAGGUCAGAUGUGGAAAUCCUUGGAACAGGGGUUGUAAGUGACUGUUAAAAGUCAGUCAGCGUGGAGAGGAAGGAGGCGGUUGAGUCAUGUAUCAUCCUGUCCUUGCAAGGCCGUUGCUUCAGCUGGCAGUACUGGAGUCUUUCCAGCAGUCACUGGGUGGGAGGCAGCAAAACGUACAGGACAGGUCUCCAAUCCAUCACAGGACACACACCAUUCACUCACACACACACACACCUAGUGGCAACUGAGAGUGCCCAAUACCAUUUUUGCAUUUGUUAUUGACUGUGGGAUUGUUGUAACCGCAGUCAACUUUUAUAUCUGUGUUACACCUGUAAUACCUCCAUAAACCUGGGGUCCUCAAUUUUCUUUGUCAGAUUAAAACAGGCACAAAAAGUUUUUGUGUGUGUGUCCAUCGUUGAUGGAGCAUUGGAGUGGUUUUGUUCAACAUCAACAACACCAUCUCCAACUCUGUUGCUGUUGCCACCCUGGUGUCCUUCCUUAAAAUGCUGCUUAGUCAUCAGGAUUCCAUAUCAGCUUAAGUCCUAACAGAGGGUGAUAAGUGGCGCAUGGAUGCACAAACUACACAGGCAUGAAUGUAUUGCUGCGGUGGGGGGAUUUGAGGGGGCGAACAUAGGAACUAAACAUUUAUCUGCUGAGAUGGCCACCGGCCGGCGUUAUCCGCGCAUGUGAGUCGAUUGGAGAGUGCAGCUUCGUAUCGUUGAGGGGUCUAGAGAUGCAUGACAAACACUCGGCGAAGAAGAUAAAGGCAGAAGUUGGAGGAGAGGCGUGACCGCAGAUAAGCCCAGGAUGGGGCUGAGGGAGCGAUCGAAGAAAGGGGCAGGAUGAAGUUGGCGGGGUUGCAAAGUUAUACACAACACACAAGGCUGAGUAAUUGUGUUUAGCUUCACUGUGGAGUUUCUAGAAGGGUUUAAAUCUGUGACCCGUGUAUUCAUCGAUUUUUGAUGCAUUUUUUGAGUCCAUGUUUUCUUGGUGCUCUGUAAAAGUUGAUAUCAACAGUAUAACUUUCAGUUUGGGACAAUUCAUCAGCUGUGCUACUUUAAAACUCCUGUAGCCAAUUCAACAAUUGAGUCACUCUUCUUACUUUAUCAGUUUGAGCCAGGUUUGAAGAGUCAGGACUACAAUAUACCUUUAGGCCUGGAUGUGAAAGACAUCUGUGGUUACUCCCCUCAUGCUGCAGUCGUGCAGUUUGAAAGAUUUCCACGGCCUAAUAGCUUUAUUUAUGUGUCCCAGUGCGUGCUAACAAAGACAUAAAAACAGCAUGCAGCAGCUGAACAUAGUUACCUCUCUUUGAAGGCCAAAAUAAAGACAAAAAGGAACAUGGUGGAAUAAAUCAGAGCAGAUGCCUUCUUUGGAUUCUGAGAUGUUUCCUUUGGAUCUAAAGAAUUCUCUGUGAUUCACAGAUCAAGCCUUGCAUUUCAUAUCAGGGGUGCUGAUGAGUAUUAAGGCUUAAUAAGAACAUCUACUAUUAAUAUCUCAAGUCUAGUUGAUGAAAUAUAGAUUAAGACAGUCAUUUUCCAAAUGAAUGCCCCCAAUCUGAUAUCUGCAAAUGUUCAGAAGCUAGUGUAUUAAGCUAUGAUGUGGUAGCUGAUAAGUCUGAUGAGAAAUGUUCUAUUAUCAGUAUAAUGCAGAAAACAUCAAUCUGAUAAAUUCACUGUGGUUCUUGUAUUUGCUUUUUUUCUCCUCAUAUGUUUAAAAUAUAUAUGCUACAUGGACAGCCUCUGUGCUAGCAUCGAGAUGUGAGCUAGCCGGUCAUUUUUUUCCACUUCAACUGUGGGGCAACAAUUGUCAGAAGUCUGCACACCAGACUGCACAUAUACAAGUUGUCACAGCAUGUCGUGAGCUUUUUUUUUUCCUUUAUAAGUCCUCACUGGUAUUUCCUCUCUUAGCAGCAACCAGACUCAAAGGACCGUGGUCCAUGAGGCAACUGGAUGAAU
ensembl:lncRNA